AUUGAACGCUGGCGGCAGGCCUAACACAUGCAAGUCGAGCGGAUGAAGGGAGCUUUCUCCUGGCUUCAGCUGCGGACGGGUGAGUAAUUCCUAGGAAUCUGCCUGGUCUUUGGGGCUAACGUCCGGAAACGGGCGCUAAUACCGCAUCCGUCCUGAGGUUGAACGUGGUGGAUCUUCGGACCUCACGCUAUCAGCUGAGCCUAGGUCGGAUUAGCUAGUUGGUUGGGUAAAGGCCUACCAAGGCGACGAUCCGUAACUGGUCUGAGAGGAUGAUCAGUCACACUGGAACUGAGACACGGUCCAGACUCCUACGGGAGGCAGCAGUGGGGAAUAUUGGACAAUGGGCGAAAGCCUGAUCCAGCCAUGCAGCGUGUGUGAAGAAGGUCUUCGGAUUGUAAAGCACUUUAAGUUGGGAGGAAGGGCAGUAAGUUAAUACCUUGCUGUUUUGACGUUACCAACAGAAUAAGCACCGGCUAACUUCGUG
rnacentral:rRNA from 1 species